rnacentral:rRNA from 1 species
UUUGACCUCGGGACGCAGCAGUGAGGAAUAUUGGUCAAUGGACGCAAGUCUGAACCAGCCAUGCCGCGUGCAGGAUGACGGCUCUAUGAGUUGUAAACUGCUUUUGUACGAGGGUAAACCCCGAUACGUGUAUCGGGUUGAAAGUAUCGUACGAAUAAGGAUCGGCUAACUCCGUGCCAGCAGCCGCGGUAAUACGGAGGAUCCGAGCGUUAUCCGGAUUUAUUGGGUUUAAAGGGUGCGUAGGCGGUUUGAUAAGCUAGAGGUGAAAUGUCGGGGCUCAACCCCGAAACUGCCUCUAAUACUGU